GACGAACGCUGGCGGCGUGCUUAACACAUGCAAGUCGAACGGAAAGGCCCCUUUGGGGGUACUCGAGUGGCGAACGGGUGAGUAACACGUGAGUAACCUGCCCUUUACUUCGGGAUAACUUCAGGCAACUGGGGCUAAUACCGGAUAGGAAUCCUUGCUGCAUGGUGGGGGUUGGAAAGCUUCGGCGGUUUUGGAUGGACUCGCGGCUUAUCAGCUUGUUGGUGGGGUAGUGGCUUACCAAGGCUUUGACGGGUAGCCGGCCUGAGAGGGCGACCGGCCACAUUGGGACUGAGAUACGGCCCAGACUCCUACGGGAGGCAGCAGUGGGGAAUAUUGCACAAUGGGCGGAAGCCUGAUGCAGCAACGCCGCGGGCGGGAUGACGGACUUCGGGUUGUAAACCGCUUUAAGCAGGGGCGAAGCUUGUGGUGACGGUACCUGCAGAAGAAGCACCGGCUAACUACGUG
rnacentral:rRNA from 1 species